GACAUUUACACCUUUAAAUAAAAAAAAAACUAUGUACUUUUGUACCAAAAAGGAAACGAGCGGUUCCUUUUAUUGCCACAUUGUGUCAGUAAACAUCAUAGCUCAAAACUAAUGCAUAUUUGACUGUAUUGUAACUGUGUUGAGCUGCAACAUUUUAGCUCAUGUUCACCAAAGGGACAGCAGGCUUAGAAACAACAUCAUGCUAUUUGAUUUAAACAAAGAGAGAGAGUGUGUGUGUGUGUGUGUGUGUGUGCGUGCGUGUACCCCAAACAAUGAAGAGGAGAGGUGCUCUUCAUUGUUCACGUCUAUGUCAGUUCAAGAGGUUGCUAAAGUUCAUAGCGAUCUAACGAGAAUGUUAAUCUCGGGCACACCUGGACUACACACCCAUGAUACCUCCAACCACGGCUUCCAGUUCAGCCCUGCAGCCCCGCUAGCUAGCCGGGCUGGAGGGGAGGUUUCCGGAAGAACUAGCUCCAUGGCUACCGAGAGGAGUGGUUGGUGCGGGGGGGGGGGGGGGUGCUUGAGGGCAGCGUCCCCAGACAAAGACUCUCUGAGACGGGAGAUCCUGCCGUGUUCUUAGCGGGGAGACGUAUAAAGUUGGCUUGUGAUACAAAGUAGCUCCGAGGCCUUCAAUGAACGACGUGAUUUAUUUAUAAGGCGCUCAUUUUAGGAGACACUCGGGCGGGAGCGCGCACGCGCACUCGCCUAACGGAAAGUCUUCUGUCGUCGCGUUUUAAUUUGAAAAGAUUUUCCAUUUCCACAACUUAAUGAAUGCCACAGUUACAAAAAAUAGUGUUAUAUUAUACCCCUUUGGUAAACGAUUAUGCCAAUGUGGGAUUUGGGUUUACGUCAUAAGAAUAGUUGGGGUUUAAAAACUUACCGUUUUGGGCAUCUUUGCUUUCAGUGGUCCGCUUCAGGUUAAAACAAGGAAAAAGCACAGCAAAAAAACGAAUAGAACAGACGAGCAGUCGGCGAAACCAGCAGAAAACUUUUUCCCAUCAGAAUAACGGCGCCAAUCUAACGCUUUCCUGUCCAAUACGAUGCUACCUUUCGUUUGCUAGUUGGAAGAAACGAGAAGAAAACUCUUUCGGAGAAAAUAUGUCUUUUGUGUCGCCUUCGAAGUGAAAUGAGCUCGAAAGCUCGGCUUCCUGCUAACGGUACCCGGACUCUCAAACCACACCCAGGCCGAUGACAGGACAGCAGCCAGACAGAAAGAAGCUUGCAGCCCGCAGACUCCGCCUGCUGUCUCCGCAUCAUCAUGGCCGCACACAGCCUCCGGCCCCAAACUUCUACUCCCUUCGAGAGCUCGCCGAUCGAUGACGUGUGCCUUGUCCAUACAAUAUUAACACAAACAUCCACAUUGGGCCUCAAAACCUCAGGAGAGACAAAAGAGCACUCCUACUCCAUUGUGGUUAAAAGGACUUCCGGUUUGGGGCGCUAGCUACAAAAGGUAUAGGAGUUGAUAAUAAAUGGAGAUGUAUCUUUUUAAAAUGUGGGCUUUUAACAUACAACCAUACGUGUUGGAUUCCAACUUUGAUCCUGAAGUAGAGAGUUUCUCACGAACAGACGUUUUUUUCUCAAGAACAGAGGAUACUUCAAGACGUCUCUCAAUGGAGGUGGAAAAAAGACGAGCCCUUUGCCUUUCCCCACAUGUUAGCAAUGCUACUGGAAUGAUGGAAAAUACUCCAGCAGACGCCACAGCAGAAAUGUUCAUCUGGGCCGCAAUGUGGUGAGCGAGAGCAUACAGCAGUGGAGGGAGAAGCUCUCCUUCCAGCUGAAGGCGGACUUCUGGGCGUACCCGAUUGGACUCCACCUCAUUUAAGCAAAUGGACCGCACCUGGCUUAUUCUUGGUUGCCUGCUACUCGCAUGUAUGGACACUGUUUGAAGGUUUUGGACUUAUGGCCAUUCUUGAACACUGUUGGCAAGAAUUUGGUGAUACUGACUGGAAUCCAUGCCAUCUUCAACUUGAAAAAGAUUUCCAGUACCUGCACUGGCCACACAGCCCCCCAGCAUGAUGGAACCACCACCAAAUGUUACUGUGGGUAGCAAGUGUUUGUCUUGGAAUGCUGUGUUCUUCAUCCGCCAUCCAUACCGCCCUUUGUUAUGUCCAAAUAACACCAUUUUUCUUUCAUCAGUCCACAGCACCUCAUUCCAAAAUGAAACUGGCUUGUCCAAAUGUGCUUUAGCAUCCCUGAAGCGACUUUUUGUGGCAUGUGCACAGAAAAGGCUUCUUCCGCAUGCAUUUCCUGUACAGCAUUCCCUUGUGGAAAGUGCACUGAAUAGUUGAACGAUGCACACCAAGAUCAUGUUGUAGGUCUUUGGAGCCGGUCUGUGGGUUGAGUUUGACCGUUCUCACCAUCCUUGGCCUCUGCUUAUCAGAGAUUUUUCUUGGCCUGCCACUCCAGGCCUUAACGAGGACUGUGCCUGUGGUCUUCCAUUUCCUCACUAUGUUCCUCAGAGUGGAACCUGACAGCUAGCUCUGAGCUAGCUUUUUGUAUCCUUCCCUUAGACCAUGAUGUAGAACAAUCUUAGCUUUCAAGUCACAGUUUUUUAGGCUACCAUGUUGCCACUCUUCAAAGAAGAUGCAACUUGCAACUGGCCACCUUACCCUUUCUCAUGAUUGGCUUCACUUGUGUAUACACGUCAAUGGUCUUAUUGAAAUGUUCUCACCUUGAAAGUACAGUUCUGCUGCAUACACUUAGCACCAUAUAAGACCAAAAGAGCACCAUGCAGUAAUAGUAUAGUAGUUAUGGAGACCCAUGUGGGUAAACGGGUAAAUAUUACAAAGAAACAAUUCCUAAUAAAAUCAAAUACAGUAUAUACCAUACCCAUCUUCUGUGAUACAUUCUAAAUGUUAUAGAAUGAAGUCACUCUCUGAUCGAGCUUCACCUUACAGCCAUCCUCUUGGUGUGCUACUAGUACUUAGCUGCAUUUUUCUAUUUCUAUUUCUAUUUCUAUUUCUACAUUCUCGUAAAUUUUUAUUGCGUUCAUAUAAUAUUUUUAUGCCACUUAUUUCAGCUUCUGUAGCUUUACUUUUGCGCCUUGUUAGUGUAAACAUUUCCCCCUGCAAGCAACAUUUUAAAGCACAUGCUUUAGAUGAAGAAGCUGGACGUUGACCACUUAUUAUACUCUAGAAGCAGCUACUGCUUCAUAAAACCUACAUCAGGAGGUUUCUACCCACCAGCCACCCAUGCACUUUCAAUGCCGCUUAUCCUCAUUAGGGUCGCAAGGGUAUGCUGGAGCCUAUCCCAGCUGAUUUCGGGCAAGAGGCGGGGUACACCCUAGACUGGUUGGGUUUCUACCAGCCACAAAUGUCAAUGUUUUGACCGUCAUUAGGCCUAUUUUAGGGGGGCUGCAGACACCUAAAUGUUCUUAAGCCCCCCCUAAAGAAUUUGACAUAUUUUAUUGUUUUUUUCUACAAAAAAAAUCUCGGACUAAUUUUAUAUAAUAGAGCAAGAAUAGGAGUUAAAAUAAAUGGUCACAUUACCUAUUAUUAAUUAAUAAUCAUAAAUCUGUCCAUGUGCCUUUAUUUCAUGGUGUAAGGUAGAGUGCCCCUUCACUGCGCCAUUACCAAGUCUAUUCCACUUGGCCAGAGUGUUAGAGUAUGCCCACACCACAUAGAGUCCAUGUUUUCCUUGCAGCGUGUUUACCUACUUUGCAGCACACAGAGCCAACUAUUAAGCAGUUGGAGAAGAAUGAAUAUACAAAGGUUUUUCAAAAGAGUAAGUAUUCAUCACUGCUGCUAGCAAUUAGUUAGCUCCAGCCCACAGUCAACAGCAGAUUGAACCAUGAACCAAGCAUUUCACAUUUUACAAAAAAGAAAAAAAUAUCAAUAAAUGAAAUUAAAAAAAGACGUAUUGGCGAUCUCGGCUCACGUCUUUUACCUCUGUUGUUUUGCGGCCAAGAGGUAGAUUCCAGCCAUAAAGGAACACUGCAUAUGCUAAUUAGCUAGCCAGUAGCUAAUAUCAUGGUCCUGGUUGGAGUGCCAAGUGUGCCCUGCGCUCUCCUCAGCCUUGGGGGGCACAGCAUCAGUUGUGUUUCUUUCACAUUAUGGGAUGCUGAGUUGGGCUCUUUCCACUAUGAUUCAUUCAGCAUUAUUGUGAGUGGAUGAUAAUUCAUUCAUUCAUUCAUUUUCUACCGCUUUUCCUCGGUAGGAAGGAGCCUAUCCCAGCUGGGGUACAUCCCGGACUGGUCGCCAGCCAAUCACAGGGCACAUAUAGACAAACAACCAUUCACACUCACAUUCAUACAAUACAAUUUGGAGUCGCCAAUUAACCUAGCAUGUUUUUGGAAUGUGGGAGAAAACCCACGCAUGAACGGGGAGAACAUGCAAACUCCACACAGAGAUGCCCGAGGGUGGAAUUGAACCCUGGUCUCCUAGCUGUGAGGUCUGCGUGCUAACCACUAGACCGCCGUGCCGGAGUGGAUGAUAAUAAGAAUGAUAAUAGCAGUAGAGUAUGUCUGUUAAAUCUGUUGUGUUUUUGUAGUUGAUAGUGUUAAUGUGAUCCAAAAAAAUAAUUCUGCAUAUAUUUUCAUAAACAUUUAAUGGUGGCCUAAAACUUGAGUUUACUUGAGUAAAAAUUGAGUAUCUCUACCAAAUCUGUCCAAAAGUGAGAAAGUUAUAUCUCGUUUCUUGUUCCUUAUUUGUUUUUUGGAUUUCCUAAUGUCUACUACAUUCAUUCACAUCCUGUGCAUCUCCAGGGGGCUAAGGCCCCCCGUCCUCAGAACCUAGUGACGCCCCUGGUUUUGACUCUGAGCUAGUUGGACACCCUGACGGUUAUUUUCAUACCUGGCGACUAUAGGAGACUCUUUGGUUAAUUGAAUAGAGGCAUUACUUUUGAUAGAGGCAUUUAUAGUAGUUAACUUGUGUUUUAAUGUAACUUAGUGAUUGACAGGCUAUGUUCGGGAUAUGUGUGACACACAUAAGGCGGCUGGGAUGAGCUCCAGUUUACCGUAACAGUGUUGCAGGCAUGUGUUUGGCCAGCUAUGUGGGGCGGGUUGAGCGUGACCUGUGAACCAGGAAGUGCGGGGAUCUUGUGUGCGUGCUGUUCUCUCGUUGCCGAGUAGUCUAAAAAUACCGUGUUUCUUUCUCUGCCCAAGUCAGGCCGCCCUUUUCCACGGUUUGGGGCUGAAAAUACUGACAGUAACAACAGUGCGCAAUGGAUAUCAAGGACACCAGAGUUGAAAGGACUGUUUUAUAUACCGCAAAAGAAUGGAACAGUGUUUAGAACGAUAUGACGCAGAAAUUCCGCCAUGAUGGUGAGCAAGAGAGGAGGGCGAGGAUACUCGGACGACUGUGUACAAUUACACUGUACUUUGUAUUUACUAGCUCUGAGCAUACGCUGUGCAUUCACUUUGAUCAAAUUGAUGCAUGUCAUUUACUGAAAGUAAAAUAUACUAUAUGUAUAUACAUAUGUGUGUGUAAAAAUCCGUUGUACUGCAGAAAUAUGACCGAGAUGUUGAUAAAAACCCGAGCAGCCAGAAACUAUUUCCUUCGUUAUGAAACUUUGUUCUUCCUUACAGUGUUACCAACACUUAAACAUACUAAAUAAUUUUAAUAGUAUUAUAUGGAUAAUUCAUAGGCUCCAGCAACCCCCCUCCCCCCGCCCUGGUGAGGAUAAGCGGUAGAAAAUGAAUGAAUGAAUAUGGAUAAUUAAAGGGAGGAUUUUCCACAAUGCAACAUGUAUUUCUGUAAUGACGUUUCUUAUACAUUUGAUUGACUGACAUGCCAUGAAUUCAAGUCAUCACCUAAAGAAAUAAGCUAUAUUGUAUAGGAGUUCCACACAAUACACUUUCUGAGUCUUGUCCAAUCAGUGUUAUAAAUCUAUAACAUUUUUAUGAUACAAACCUAUCUUUUUGGAGAACUUAAACUGACAAACCUGGUCUGUUGGACCGUCUAUUAAUGGCUGAGCAGUGUGCCGACCAGAUGUUUACAAUGCAAUGUUUCUGGAUUCUGCUCACCAUCAUGGCGGACAGCCCCGCACAGGGCUAAGUACGGAAGUAGACGUAGAGUGGCCAAACCCCGUCAUGCUAAGGUCCUCGAUGGCGAUAAGCUCCGAAAACAGUAUGAAACAAAAGAUGAAUAACUCCAAAUUUAGUGGUGUAGUGCUUGAAAGGAAACUUAAAAAAAAUUAUUUGGACAUCAUACACAAUCCUUAUGUUAACAUGAGCGAAUGCUAGCGCAUGACAUGAAUGCAUAAUGUCUCCCUAACAUUUGUGACUGCCCCCAUGCACGCAGGGCUGGAGAGGCCCUGAUGUGAGCUGCAUAUUAAACCAAGCGACAUUGUUACUAUUAUUGACAUCGUUAGCUGAAGAACAGAUUUACUUUCCUCGCCACACUACACCGGCGAGCUACGAGACGGCUAACGACUCGCUUCACCACACACUUGCCCGCAGGUGGCAAGUAGGCAGGUUGGGCAAAGUUCAAAAGUUGAUGCUGUUUUAGUUUUGAGUUUGGAAUAAAUCAAUGCAAGGUGUAGAGUUUGAUUGAUGAUUAAGCCAUCCCAUUCCUUUGCCGCUUAUCUGACAUAAGCGGGGGCAUGCUGGAGCCCAUAUCAGCUGGAUUCUGGAUUCAGCUGGUCAGAGUUGGGGUCCAGCCUGUACUGGCCCCCAGCCAAUCGCAGGACAAACAAUCAUUCCCACUCACAUUCAUACCUGUGGACAAUUUGGAGGUGCGAGUUAACCUAACAUGCAUGGUUUUGGACUGUGGGAGGAAAGUGGAGCAUACGGAGAAAACCUGAUUUCAGCCUCUCAAAUGUGACAUUUUUUCUGUAUUUCCUUAGUCAUCCAUGAAAGCAGACCAUACAUCUUAUCUUUAGUAUUCUUGCCAAAAAAGAUAUUCACACAUAUCAGUGUAACCCAGGGGUAUUUAUUCAUAAUACACUUAUAGAAUAAUAUAAUAUUAAAUAUAUAUUGCAUCCGGGCGGCACGGUGGUCUAGGGGUUAGCGCGCAGACCUCACAGCUAGGAGACCAGGGUUCAAUCCCACCCUCGGGCAUCUCUGUGUGGAGUUUGCAUGUUCUCCCCGUGCAUGUGUGGGUUUUCUCCGGGUACUCCGGUUUCCUCCCACAUUCCAAAAACAUGCUAGGUUAAUUGGCGACUCCAAAAUUGUCCAUAGGUAUGAAUGUGAGUGUGAAUGGUUGUUUGUCUAUAUGUGCCCUGUGAUUGGCUGGCGACCAGUCUAGGGUGUACCCCGCCUUAUGCCCGAAGACAGCUGGGAUAGGCUCCAGCACCCCUCGCGACCCUCGUGAGGAAAAAGCGGUAGAAAAUGAAUGAAUAUAUUGCAUCCUUUUACAUUUCAUAUGUACAUUCUCUAUACUAUGUUUAUUGUAAUUAUUGUCAAUAUAAAACCGUUUACGUCAUUCCACAUGAUGUCAGUGGUAUAAAAAGAGCAAGAUUUGUGUAAAAAGGGUUCGCGAGCGUCCAUGUCGGUACUCGUUAAGCCCAGCAGACCCUGAAUUGCCCCGGUUGUGGAGGACUUGGUUGCAAAUAUGGCUGAGAUGUGUUGAGAGUGUUUUGUGAAGAUGAUGUAUGGCAUGAGCGAGCCAGUCGGUGCUGGCGUCGGCUGGCUUUAAAGUCAUUUGCAUUUGUGUUAACACUAAAGUUUCUAUAGAGUACUCUUGUUUGGUUAAAUGAUUAUAUGAAGAAACAUUUAUGCCGUCGUAUAACAAAAUGGUGAUUGGUUGCUUGGUUCUGGUGGCCCAUCUCAUGCCGUCCCUGUUUAAGUCCCGCUCAUGUUGGAAGUCCUGUUGAAGUGCUGCUAGGCCACAAGCCAAGCCAUGGUGGAAGGGAGGGAUCUGGUGGUGCGGUGGGAGCAACCGCUCACACGUCCGAUGCCUUCUGGCAUACAAAAUUUCACCUGAACAGUCAAGACCUCCUUAACUUUCUUCCUGUGGACUAUGGGACAGCUGCCAAGUGUCUAAGUUCCUAGAUUUUCAGGACCUGGAAGACUUGCUUUGAUCAAUGCAACUUUGAAUUCUAUCAUCUACCAAAAAAUGCUGAAGGAGGAUGUUCGAAUAUCUGUCCCAUUUUGGUAUAAGGACGGGAAAUCCAAUGUAAUUACAGAUCUCAAUGCUCUGUGGCUCUCACAUGUGAUGGCUGGAGUAACGUUGCACAGGACCACUACUUCACCAUCAGAGUACACUCUAUAGUGGAGGGCAAAAUAUAUUGGUUAAAAAUAGCCAUGUGAGAAAUUCACAGUAAAGUCAUUUCUAAAAAGUGCAUAGCAUAAAAAAGAAAGAAUCUGAAUUGAGAAUCGUUUGGAACAGGAAUAAAAAAAAAAGAAAAGAAAAAGAAAACAUAACCACCACCCCAAAGUCGCAACCUUGGCCAAAUAAGGAAAAAUGUAUGAAGUAUCCUCCAGAAAAUGUAGCAAAUAAGAGGACAAAUGUCAGUUUGAACAUAGUGUAUAUAUUUAUUAAUGGUUAGAAACACAUUUUGUCAUUAAGACUUACAUUUCGUUUGAGCCCACAGACUCAAAUAGUCUAAGUUGGUCUACAAAAAGCAAUGCUUUUCUAGUCAGUGUGGAUUACACCUGCCAAUUAGCACAACACAAACAGCUUACUCCAGUGUUUCCCUUUUUUACACUCACAUCACCGUUAAAAAAAGUCACCAGUGCAACGUGCUGUUUAAGUGACAAAGUGGGGUUUCACCUGAGUAUUACACUGUAUAUAUGUACAGUCAUUGUAAUGGGUACACCUCUUGACCUGACAUUCUGUACACCAAGUCUGUCCAUCCAGGUAUAUACUGUAUGGAGAUACUAUAUGCUGGCAUCAUAGGUACGCUGUUGGUGUGAGCGUGUGUUUGAAACAUUGGUCACAAGUACAUGUGUACAAUAAUUAAAAAAACAAAAAAACUUUGGUCAUGAUCAUAUCCAUGCUAUUCAACAUAUAACACUUAAUUUGACCAAUUUUCAUAAUAGCACAAGUCCAGUUUCAUUGAAGGCCAGCCAAAAACUACACACAAACUGGCCACAGAGAGCAAAAUUAUUCAUCUACAUUUCAAUAUAAUAUUCAAUGGUCAUAGAAAUAACAAAUUAUACACUAUGUCAACAUUAUUCAGUCAACCACCUGCCAAACAUUCCACUUUUAAGAGAUAUAUAUUUCCACAAACACAACAGACUGCCAUUGUGUUAUUUAGCAGUGUUUAGUGAUUCAAGUUUACGAAGUGUACUUUUUAUAUAUUAGUUUGGUGUGUGACAGUCUGUGUAAAAAGACACCCGCAAACCGAAAAUAUGUAAUACAAGACAUAUCCCCAAAAUAUUGACGUAUACUAUUAAAAUAGCAUAAAGCAGAAACAUCAUUUCAACAAUUGGAGGGAAUAGAUGCACAGGUUGCAACAUUUGAAGUUACCAAUGCAAGUAUUUUUUUUUUUUUUUUACAGUUUACACAUCCACGCAAACACACGGCUAUGUACAGUGAGGAUGAGAUGCUUAGUGCUGCACCUCCAUGUCCCACACAAUGAACUACUGUACCCAAUACCAGUUAGUACAUACAAUUGGGCUACUCCCAGUGACACAUGGUGUCACACAAAUUAGGCAUUGUUUUUUUUUUUUUUUUGUCCCUAUACUUAAAUAAAACUAUGUUAUUAUUAUACAUUUGAUAUUGAGUUUACAUUCAUGGUAAAGAUACAAUUUGUAUCAACAAGCAAAAGUCAAUUCUAGACAUUUGUGGCUUGGUUGUUUGCGGCACAAACAAAAGAAGGGGGUGUGAGGGUCAGUGAACUGUUAUUGGUGAACCUUGAUUAUAUUGGUUUUUUGCGACAGUGAUGACUCCUUCGGUCUGAACCCUAGGAUAGGGGUCGCAAACUCACAGCCCCUUUCUAACUUUUUUCAAAACUUUAGUGUCAGUGCAGCUCUCGGACCCUGGAGACAUAGUCAGAGGCACUUUCACUUGCUUAAAGGAAGAGGUUCUUUUAUCGGGCAAGGAAUAACCACCACAGAACUUGCAGUUAGCUUGUCACACAGUAAAAUGAAGGAGAGUGGGGGCACUUGACUAACACACCAACUACAAUCAUUUUGUCAAAACAAAAAUGAGUAAGGUAUGCAAACACACAAGGCAACCACAACUACUAUGGGGGAAAACAAUUACUCUGAAACACUCCAAGCAAUGAUAGAGAUGCCUGCUCCCAGCAUGCCUUUGCAACACCAUUUUAUAAAUAUUUACAAACUUUUAUUUUGGUUUUUAGAACUUGACUUAUUGUGGUCCCACAGACAGAUCAGCUGCAGGAGGAGAUGAGUGGACAAAUCAUUUUGUUACACUAUGGUAAGCGGUGACUUUGUAUAACAAUAGAACACUAGACUUUAGUACGACGCUGUCGGGACUUAUCAAGAACAUUAGAGAGUAUUUUUGUUUGUUUCUUUCGGCUUUUUCCGAUUAUGGAAUUGCCACAGUGGAUCUUUUUUUUGAUCACAUAUUGAUUUUUGGCUUGAGCCCUUCAAGCUGAAGAAGGAGUCCUAUCGAGCAUGGAUGGCUUGUGGGACUCUGGAAGCAGCUGACAGGUACCGUCAGGCCAAACGGUUUGCAGCUUCGGCGGUUGUUGAGGCAAAAACUCGGGUGUGGGAGGAAUUCGGUGAGGCCAUGGAGCACGACUUUUGGUCGGCCACGAAGAGGUUCUGGCAAACCGUCUGGUGACUCAGAAAAGGGAAGUAGUGCCCGGUCCACACUGUUCACAGUGGAGACGGGGGCCUGCUGACCUCGACUGGGGAUGUAGUUGGACGGUGGAAGGAAUACUUUGAGGCCCUUCUCAAUCCCACUGGCAUACCUUCCAUAGAGGAAGCAGAGUCUGAGGACACAUACAUGGACAGUGCCAUCACCGUGGCUGAGGUAUCUGGGGUGGUCAAAACGCUCCUCAGUGGCAAAGCUCUGGGGGUGGACGAGUUCCGCCCAGAAUUCCUCAAGGCUCUGGAUGUUGAGGGACUGUCUUGGCUGGCACGUCUCUUCAACAUUGUGUGGAAGUCGGGAACAGUACCUUUGGAUUGGCAGACCGGGGUGGUAUAUAAGUAUCUGUGGGUCUUGUUAGCGAGUGAGGGAAGGCGGGAGCGUGAGGUCGAUCGACGGAUCGGCGCAGCCUUUGCAGUAAUGCGGUCGCUGUACCGGACCGUCGUGGUGAAAAGAGCUGAGCCGGAAGGCAAAGCUCUCAAUUUACCGGUGGAUCUAUGUUCCCACCCUCACCUAUGGUCAUGAGCUUUGGGUCAUGACCGAAAGAAUGAGAUGGCGGAUACAGGCGGCUGAAAUGAGUUUCCUCCGUAGGGUAGCUGGACCCACCCUAAGAGAUAGGGUGAGGAGCUCAGCCAUCCGGGAGGGGCUCAGAGUAGAGCCGCUUCUCCUUCACAUCGAGAGGAGUCAGUUGAGUUGGCUCGGGCAUCUAGUCCGGAUGCCUCCCGGACGCCUCCUUGGUGAGGUGUUCCGGGCAAGCCCAGCCGGGAGAAGGCCCCGUGGCAGA